CUAGGCGCCUUCAUUCUUGGUCGCUUCUCUGGUCAUGUCAGGAAGAUUUUAAUCCUCAAGCCCUCAAUAAAUCUCAAGUCUCGGAGAUCAGAUGUGAAUCCAACGACUUAACCUGCAUCAUUAUUGGAUUUUGAGGACGAAUAUAGCAAAAAAUGAUUUAUUUACGCCAAAAAAUCAAUCAAAAGCUUAUUUGUUCAAAAAAAUAAGAAGCCUGGGGAUAAUUUUCAAAAGAUCGAAAGUAUUUUCUUUCGAAAAGAUCUAGAGAUAGCCACUGCCCUCUAAAUCUUGCUUGCAUCGCACCCUCUACAGAGAUGUUUGUUACAAGAAACUACUGAAAUGAGACCAUAGAAAAUCUACGAAGACCUUGAUUACUAAAACGAUUAAAUAAAUGAAAUCUCAACGCAAAUUGUGAAAGUGAUAGAACCUUAAGAAUUAUUUUCGGAUUCGAUUUAAAAUUAUUCUAAGCAAAUGAAAACUGAUUUUUAGAUUUGAGAAAAAUAAACCAAACUACUCGAAAAUCGAUCAACAAUGAGGCUGAUCGUGCUGAUUGUGGCAUUCAUAGCGUGCUUGUCUUCGGUCAUGGCGGCUCCUGAGCCACAAUUCGGCGGAGUUGGUGGCUUCGGCAUCGGCAUCGGCGGUGGAAGGAGAUUCGGCGGACUCGGAGGACGGCGGAGGCUGAAUCGGCGACGAUCUAUCUUCUCGAAAUUCAAAUUAAUAAAACGACUUUUCACUCCUCGAGGAUUUUCCUUCCGCAGAUUUAGAGGCUAAAAUGAGCGUGCAAAUAGUUCAGAUCACUCCUUUUUCCGAAAUUGCCCCUUUUAUGAGAAAUUCUCUCUUGCCUAGAAUUAGUAUAAAAACUUGCCAAAAAUUUCUAGAUUAUCAAAUUUAAAAAGUUUGUAGUUCAAUUACGUUUUUCAAAACUUAAAACCUCAGAAUUGGAUCUUUGCCUCACGUCUUUAGCGAACAAGACGCACAAACUUAAACGAAAGUUCGACAUUUAGUUGGAAGCUUAGCAUGACAAAAGAAGACUUUGUUUUCUAAUCGGAACAUCAGAAAUUCGGUUAAAGAGACACAAAUAAAACAUUCAAAUUUUUGCACAAAUUCAUUUCUGAAAAAAAAACAUGUUCACCAAACAUCAACAUUCGUAAUUAGACUGUUAAUUUGUGUAUGCAUGCGAAGGUUGCUUCAUUUUCACAACAGAAAAACAAAUUCAAAUAAAGUUCUUAUCCCCUUGAUUUUGAUACGUAUGUUUGUUUCACUGUACUAGCUGAUAGGUACUGGCUAGCAACACUAAUGAAUGUGUUUAAAGUUGUUGCAGAGUUUUGGCUCAUUUGGUCAUAUAGUUUAACUUUUAGAACGCAUAUGAAGAUAUUAAAGAGCAAAAACCAAACCGAAA
rnacentral:lncRNA from 1 species